AUCGAACGCUGGCGGCAGGCCAAACACAAGCAAGUCGAACGAGUGGCGGACGGGUGAGUAAUGUCGGGGAAACUGCGCGAGGGAGGGGGAUAACUACUGGAAACGGUAGCUAAUACCGCCUACCAUCGGGUGUGGCCAGAUGGGAUUGGCUAGUAGGUGGGGUAACGUCGCACCUAGGCGACGACCCCUUGCGGGUCUGAGAGGAUGACCAUCCGCACUGGAGCUGAGUCACGGUUCAGACUCCUGCGACAGGCAGCACUCGGGAAUAUUCCGCAAUGGGCAGCAACCUGAGUCAAUCAUGCCGCGUGUGUGGAGGAUGCCUUCGGGUUGUAACAUACUUUCGGCGGUGGGGCGUUACCCGCCGAAGAAGCACCGGCUAACUCCGUGCCAGCCGCCGCGGUAAUAC
rnacentral:rRNA from 1 species